UUGCUCGGAAUCACUGGGCGUAAAGCGCACGUAGGCGGAUCUUUAAGUCAGGGGUGAAAUCCCAAGGCUCAACCUUGGAACUGCCUUUGAUACUGGGGAUCUCGAGUCCGGAAGAGGUUGGUGGAACUCCGAGUGUAGAGGUGAAAUUCGUAGAUAUUCGGAAGAACACCAGUGGCGAAGGCGGCCAACUGGUCCGGUACUGACGCUGAGGUGCGAAAGCGUGGGUAGCAAACAGG
rnacentral:rRNA from 1 species